AUGGUGGGUUCAAUGGCAAACCCUCCCCACCCCUCUCCAGAUUGUAAUCCAGAGGAAGAUAUCUGUUCUGAGGCGGAUUCAGACGCCGCUGACCACUCCUAUUUACCCCCCAAGCCAUUUUGGUGGGAGAUGGAAAAAUCUGGAGUGAAAACAAGGCCUUCAGAGCAGACAGUGCUACCUGUCGAAGCAGAUCUCUUGUUGGGUCCCAAUAGCUCCUCAGAGAUGGAUUCAGAGAUAGAUGACCAGUCCAAUUCCGCCACCGAGGUGUAUGCCCUAACUUGGCAUGGUUAUACUGCUCAUAUCAUGCAUAUGGUGUCUUGCAUUGCAUAG
rnacentral:rRNA from 1 species